CUGCUGAAUAGGCCCCAGUGUGUGAUGUUCCCCUCCCAGUGUCCAUGUGUUCUCAUUGUUCAAUUCCCACUUAUAAGUGAGAUCAUGUGAUGUUUGGUUUUCUGCUCUUGUGUUAGUUUGCUGAGAAUGAUGGUUUCUAGCUUCAUCCAUGUUCCUUCAAAGGACAUGAACUCAUUCUUUUUUAUGGCUGCAUAGUAUUAUGCCACAUAUUCUUUACUGACCACCUACUCUGUGCCCAAAUUUGUACUGAGUGUUCUGAUUAACAGAAUGAUAUAAAGUACCUUGCAAACCCUGAAGAGUAACACAUAAACCAGCUGUUUUACAACUUAACUAUGAACAUAAGCCAUAAUAAAAAAAAAGGCCACUUGAAAGUGCAAGAGUGAAAAAUAAACAAGUAAUCAAGCAAAAUGGGAAUGUAGAGAACUCCACAUUGAGACAGUCAGGAUAAGGAGGUUCUAGGAAGUGGGAUCCCAGUGGGUGGCAUGUUUAGGAAAGAACUUAUAGAAGAAGUAGACCUGGAAUUAGGGCUUGAGGGGACCAUGGAAUGUGGGUACACAGAAACUGAGGACAAGUUUUAGUUCAAGUGAUAAUGGGACCAAAAGCCAAAAGGGAGGUAGAGAUGUAUGUGACUACUUAAAGGAUGGUGGGUAGUAGUUCUUUGAUGGACAGGAUGGCCAGCCACAGGCUGCAAUUGCAUAAUCAAAGGUAGAGAAUUAUGACCAGUCUGUAAUGUGGCAUUUUCGUUACUGUCAGGGUUUAUGGCUCAGACAAGUCCAGGUUUCUAUGAACAUGAGAAAUGUGGUAGUGCUGCGGGCACACCCAAGGUUUCCACCUUUAAAAACUGAUCUUCAAAAUGUGAAAGUUAAUCUCAGCUGCUGGAAGGCUGCCAUGGGAGUUGAAACACUUGGAUGAGUCACAUGACAGAUAUGCAGUCAGCCACCUCCAGCUCACACACAGCUCCAGAAGUUGACGUAAUAUUGAGGGCAGGAUGUGCACUCUAGUAAGCAUGAGCUGUAGGUGGAAAUAUGGAAAGAGAGAUUCAGCUGGGAACAUUCUUCAUUUAAGAGGCAAGGACAAGGAUAGCCAUAAUAACCUCUCAGUGUCCCAGGGGUGUCAUGAAUAUCUGGAAGAACACUCACUCCAAAUAGAGAGAUACAGGGGAAGAUUAGACAUACAGAAGAGGAGUAGGCAAUGUGACCAUGAAGACAGAGAUUAGAAUGAUGUAGCUACAAACGGAAGAUCACCGGCAACCACCAGAAGCUGGGAGAGGCUGCUGACACCUUGAUUUUAGCCUAGUGAAAUGGAAUUGAGAAUUCUGACGUCCAGAACUGUGAGAGAAUAAAUCAUUGUUGUUUUAAGCUACCAAGUUUGGUGGUAAUAUAUUACAGAAGCCACAAGAAACUAAUACAAAAUGAGAAAACCAUAAACUUUUGUAAUUAACAAUAAAUUUGCUUGCACAGAAAUAUUCAAUGAAAUUUUGUUGAAGUAUUACAUUAAACUAAAACAGAAAGUUAUGGUCUAUUUUUCCACUGGGAAUCUGAGGCAAGACUCUUCUUUGGAAGACAUGAACAAAUUAAUUUGUUUCAAGGGUUUAAAUAGCCUCAUCAUCAUCUGUGAUCUGGCUUCAAUGCAGAACAGCCAUCUACUUCACUGUGCUCCUAAUUCAUAAAUGGCUCAAGACACGGAAAUUAAUUGUUUACAAUGUUAAUUAUUAUGUCCAUUAUGUAUUCCAUUUUCAACUUUUUAACACAAACAUGUCAAUAAAUUUACCUAUGUUAAUUUAAAACUGAAGUUCCUGAUUCCUGCCAAAUGUACCAACUUGAAUAUGAGUUUUCUAACAGGUCUGAGAUGAACUUCAACAAUUUCAGAAAUAUUCUUUGUAUGUAAGCUUAUUAAUUUUGCUAGGACAACAUUAAACUUUUCAAAAUUUUUAUGACACUAAAAAAUGCAUUUUCUAGAAAUUUGCCUAUCAUAACCUAAUGUCUAAAACAUAUUAUUCAUACUAAAAUUUUUAAUCAAGAUUAUAGAUUUAGCUAACUCCAAUUUUUUAAUCUGUGUUUUCAACAGUUGCAAUAGAAAAAAACCAAAUAUUCAUGUUUUCUUCUUUAGUUUUCCUUGUAAUAUCUAAACCUAAAAAUUCUAAUCAGUAAAAUUUUAAUUAUAUUUAUAAAUGUAAAUGCUUGUUCUUGUUGGAAAACAUAUCUUUCUGUAUUCAUCACAUUUAAAAAAAUAAACAUACUAUUGUGAGAAGCUUUUAAUUUGGGGGUAAUUUUAUCACCCAAAACAUUUUAGAAAUAAACCCUCCAGCAUAUUAAAAUGUGAAUAUCAUUUUUUAGCUAAAUGUUGUUUAGCUUAUUAACUUUUCAUUUGCUUUUUUCCUGUAUUUUCUACAUAGUAUCUUUAUGAUUUGUUUCAUAAAGAUGACUGAAUGCAUAUUCUCUAGGCACAGUUUUGCUUGCAUAGGAUGCAUGAAGAACCACUUUUCACAUCCCCAGAAAAAUAUACCCAUUAUAAUAUAUUUCUUAAGUAAGUAGCUACUCACUCUGUCUUUCAUCCGCCUCUCCUAUCCUUUGAUGGAAAUUUGUGUUCAAAAUUAGAUAAAAAUAUUUUAUUUUCUAUUUAGCACUAGCUUAAGAAAAAACUCACAAGUAUAAUAAUAAAAUACAACUGAAACAUAGUGUCACAGAGUGGGGAGUGGGUGACACACUGGAGAGAAAAUGUUCUAGCUAAAGAGGGAAGCCUCAGGCAAUGGUUACAGGUGGGAUCUGAGAUACAGUGUUGUCAGAGCUCUUACUUCCAAAGAAGCCAGAGGCCGGGCGCGGUGGCUCAAGCCUGUAAUCCCAGCACUUCGGGAGGCCGAGGCGGGUGGAUCACGAGGUCAGCAGAUCGGGACCAUCCUGGUCAACAUGGUGAAACCCCGUCUCUACUAAAAAUACAAAAAAUUAGCUGGGCACGGUGGUGCGUGCCUAUAAUCCCAGCUACUCGGGAGGCUGAGGCAGGAGAAUUGCCUGAACCCAGGAGGCGGAGGUUGCGGUGAGCCGAGAUUGCGCCAUUGCACUCCAGCCUGGGUAACAAGAGCGAAACUCCGUCUAAAAAAAAAAAGAAGCCAGAAUAUGAGAUUUCUAAGAAACCUGGUUUUCACAUGUUGGCAAUUGAAUGAAAACACCCACCAUCAGGGGUGGGGGAGGAAAGGGAUGAGAGAAGCAGGAAGAAAUAUAUAAAAUAGAAUGAGAUAAAAAUAAACAGGCUAAGAAAAAAUUGUAAAAAAAAAAAUAAUGUGACUUCAAAGUUUAAGUAAUUAUUUGGAUAAAGUAAAGUACAUUAUUGUUAUAACAGAAAAUCUGAACACUGACUGGAAAUUGUUCUGAAAAUUUUUCCAGGAAUGUAUAAUACAAAGACAGGUGAAUGAUGUGAUCAUAGAAAAGAUGACGGAUUUGGAGAAUAAAGAUAAUAGGUGUCUGACUUUGGUUUCUGUGUCUUGAUCAUGGUCUCUAAUUUUGAAACAAGUGUGACAAAAAAGAUAAUUGAAAAGUAAUAAUAAUCAAAGGCCCACUGAUACAGGUAUUACCAGAAUGGAUCAACCAUAUUCAAGGCACAGUUGAUAGAUAUAUAUUUACAUCUAGAUGAAAGCAUAGACUACAUAAAAGAAAAAGUUCUAGAGGCAACUAGAUGGGAGAGGAAGGGGAAGAGGAGAAAAAAACAUGCUAUAAUGGUGAUAAAAUAAGGUCACCCAUAUUUCUCCUCUAAAAAACUAAGCACGGAAAUAAAUUCAAGAUAAAAAUGUGCAAAUUUUAAAAAUAUGCUACAAGUCUAUUAUACUUAAUCAAAUAUGUUCAUUCAGAUGACAGAAAAAAAUGUUUGUACAAGGAUAUAGAAAUUCUACUCUGUAUUUUACUUGGGAAAAAAACUUACUGAAGAUGUAUUUUUGAUGUGAUGAAUUACAAAUAAUGUCAUUAAUGGUUUUUAAAUAGUAACUAUUUUACUUAUUUAAAAUGUCUUCUCAUGCCCUCCAAAAAAGUAAGAAAAUAAAAUUAUUAGUUUUAUUACAUGAUUGCUUUGUGCCAAAUCUGUAUUUGCACUUCACCUACAGAAUCUCUAAUGCUUACAACCCUGAAAAUCAAGAUUAAUAUCUCGAUUUAAUAUGAACAUCAAGAACGGAAAAGUCAUCAAUUAGCAAACAGUAUUUAUACCAGCUAAAAACUGAGAUGAUACAAUUAUUGUUGUAAUUUAAAUUCUAAAAGAUUAUUAAUGCUAAAAAUUGUUGCUCAAAGGAGAGGAUGGGAAAUGUAACCAGGAAUAGUGGUUUAAAAUAAAGUCCACAUUAUAUUAAAUAUGAACUUGACAUCGAAAGCCCUGGAUUAUUCUCCAUCUAUUUGGUACUGGACAAGAAAGCAACAGCAGCAGAUGAGGGUAAGAGGGAACACAAGGAAGUGCCAUAUGUGAGCUUAAAUUGGGAGCCUUAUGCAAGGAGUCCUGAUUGGCUAGCUGGCCUCUGAACAGCCCAACCCAUUGGCUGUUACAAGCAGCUGCCCCAUAAGAGAGGACUGAAGCCCUGGGAAGAGUUCUGGUGACUAGACUGGUUGGUGGGUGUUGGGUAACUGAGAGUGGAGGUAGAUGGAUGGACAGGGAAUGGCAGAACUCAGAUUGCAAAAUUAUAGGUCUUGAGGUGCACACCUCCUAUGCACAUCUAGAACAUUUUUAGGAGCAUGAAGCAAAACCUAAACUUUUGCUCUGUUUCCUUUUCUUCUCCAAAGCAAUAUUACCACUCAAUUACCACUUAUGAAGCCAGAGCACAAUAGUGGGUAAAAAACCACACUACAAAUUAGCAACUUACACUGGAAGACCAACUAACAAAAUGCACAGAACAGAUUUUCAAAAUAGCGUAUUAUUCUCAGAGAGAUAGGAGGAGAUAUCAGAAACGUAAUGAAAUAGCAAGCAGUUAUAAAGAGAAUCCAGUUGGA
rnacentral:lncRNA from 1 species